UACGAAGGGGGCUAGCGUUGCUCGGAAUCACUGGGCGUCCCGGGUGCGUAGGCGGGUCUUUAAGUCAGGGGUGAAAUCCUGGAGCUCAACUCCAGAACUGCCUUUGAUACUGAAGAUCUUGAGUUCGGGAGAGGUGAGUGGAACUGCGAGUGUAGAGGUGAAAUUCGUAGAUAUUCGCAAGAACACCAGUGGCGAAGGCGGCUCACUGGCCCGGUACUGACGCUGAGGUGCGAAAGCGUGGGGAGCAAACAGG
rnacentral:rRNA from 1 species